GCCGCCUUCCAGGAUACGUUCAGCAGGACUGAGGACAAGGGAGUCAAUACCCAGGCUUCUGAGGGAGUCAGACUCAGCCAGGCAGAGGACACUGUGAGGCUAGCACUCUGUCAGCACAGGUCCGGGUCCUAGGUAGCUUCGAAGCAUCUCCAGGGAACAUGGAACUGUGAGAGGAGUGGGCAGAGGAGAGGCUGAUCAGGCACAGCACGGUCACGAUUGAAGAGCUUUUCCUGAUCUGCUGCCAACAGGGACGAAAGGCUCCUCCUUCAUCAUGGAGACGGGGCUCUGGGAGCAGGCCAGCCAGGGAACAUCUCUGUAACUGGCUAUGUCUGCCAGGGGCUCUGGGGAGCAGGCUGGCCAAGGAACAUGGUUGUAAAUGUGCGUGCCUACCUGUCAAGCUCAGAUGACAACCUGCUAGGCCAGGGAGCCCUCGCCAUGAGAGGGAGGCAGAGAUGGUGUCUGGACCUUCGGGAACUCUGAGGUCACCCAUGUACUCUUUGUUUGACACACAAAAGGAACCAAGGCAUCAAACGCAGCUCUUGGUUCUCCUCGAAGCCCAACUCCUCCACAAGCACCAGUACAGGACUGCACAGAGGUGCAGGGUCACCCCUUCCCUGGCUGAUGGCCAAUGGGCCACCAAAUGCAGGGGCGAGGCCACCCAGCCCCACCAGCCCACCUGCUGACCUCAGACAAAGAAGCAGUUCCAGCCAACUCCAGCCAAGCAGGGACCAGAGCAGCCCAACAGCCAGCCGACCCAUGGUCUCGAAACAGCAGGAAACACCUGUGGGUUUAAGGCGCUGACACCAAUAGCAGGUGCAGUCAAUCAAUCAACAGGCAUUCAUUUGACCAGUGAUGCCCUGAGCGUGAGGCCAGACAUGGGACUGCAGAGAAUGCCAGGACACGGAACAGAAACCCCAGCCCACCUACCAUGCAUGGCCACCGGCAUCUCCCUGUCACCAGUGCUGGGUAAUAUUCCAUCGUCUGGAGGUGUCGCAGUUUACUCAUCCAUUCACCUGCUGAGGGGCAUCCUGGUUGCUUCCACGGUUGUGGAUAAAGCUGCGAUCGACAUGCACGUGCAGGUUUUUGUGUGGACAGAAGUUUUCAGCUCAUUUGGGUAAACACCAAGGAGUAUAAUUGCUGAACCAUAUGCAAGUGUGCCUGUUGCCUUGAGUUUGCAAGAUAGCUGAUCCUCUUCCAGUCAUGACAUCCUUCAGGAAGAAGGGGAAUGACACAGGCUUCCUCUGAAGGCUGCUCUGUCUUCUGACUCCACAAAGGAAGCACUGCCCAGCACAUCUCCUCCUGCAUCUCAGCCAAAACUAGGCCAUGCGCCCUCCAAAGACCAAUCUCUCUCCAGGAGCAAUGAAACGCAUGUAGCUGUCUUUGAUCCGCACGCCUCCUCCCCUGGUGGGGGUGGGCCAUGUCCCACCUGGAUCUCACAUCCCUAACUGCAACCUAAAGACAAGAACUCCAUCAGCUGGGGGCGAGGGUAGGGUGCUGUGUGCAAUGGGCUGACUACUAAGGAGGCCAUGGAGGGCGGCAGCUUCACCCUCCAAAGUUUAAUCACCCUGAAGUGCCAAUACCUGAAAAUA